GAUGAACGCUGGCGGCGUGCCUAAUACAUGCAAGUCGAGCGAACGGACGAGAAGCUUGCUUCUCUGAUGUUAGCGGCGGACGGGUGAGUAACACGUGGAUAACCUACCUAUAAGACUGGGAUAACUUCGGGAAACCGUAGCUAAUACCGGAUAAUAUUUUGAACCGCAUGGUUCAAAAGUGAAAGACGGUCUUGCUGUCACUUAUAGAUGUAUCCGCGCUGCAUUAGCUAGUUGGUAAGGUAACGGCUUACCAAGGCAACGAUGCAUAGCCGACCUGAGAGGGUGAUCGGACACACUGGAACUGAGACACGGUCCAGACGCCUACGGGAGGAAGCAGUAGGGAAUAUUCCGCAAUGGGCGAAAGCCUGACGGAGCAAAGCCGCGUGAGUGAUGAAGGUCUUCGGAUCGUAAAACUCUGUUAUUAGGGAAGAACAUAUGUGUAAGUAACUGUGCACAUCUUGACGGUACCUAAUCAGAAAGCCACGGCUAACUACGUG
rnacentral:rRNA from 1 species